GGGGCGGUGGAUCUAGUGGUGCUUCCCGCCGGUCCUCUCCAUCUCCUCGAGGUGGGCGAGGUGGGCCCGCUCCCAGGGCAGCGCGACGAGGUAGGAGAAGGCCAUCCCGCCGAAGCAGACGUGGAAGAGCGGGUCCGGCUUGCUCGUCUCGAUGUACUUCUCGAUGUAGCGGUCGACGGCCUGGUCGGCGCUCUUCUUGACGUUCUCCCAGGUGAGCCGCGGCUUCAGGUACGCCGGCACCUCCCGGACCUUCAUGCCCCGGAUCUCGUUG
rnacentral:lncRNA from 1 species